rnacentral:lncRNA from 1 species
UAAGCAGCUGAAAGCCAAGCUCAUCCUAACUUUUUGUGAAACUUUCUCUCUGCUCCCAUCUUUUAGCAGGGAAAGCCAUUUGGGGCACAGCCAGAGGGCAGUGGGGAAGGUCAGAGGAUUUGCAGAUAUUCAGGGCCAUGACCAUGGUCUCCCAGGGCAAAGAGGCCAAGGUUGUGGGCUUCUCUCCAGACCAGUUUGCUACUCUCAGCUGUAGAUCUCUCCUACAGCUCUGAACUGCACUCCCAGGUCCAGCCAAUCAUCUAAAAAAUUCAUGAUGCUGUUCACAAGGGCCUGGGUGGAGAAUGUGGGGAUGGCUCCGUGCAAACUCACCCUGACCGAGGGCAGACAGAUCCUAGGUAAUAUUCUUGCUUGUGUGUAUAUGGGGGGGGGCACUUCAUAAGAAGAAUAAAACAUAGCGUGACUUUUUGUUGUUAUUAAAUAUAAGCUGAAACUGUAUUUCUUAAAGUUUGUAUGAGUAGAAAUUGCUUUAUUGUACCCUCAUCCCUAGAGAGGGAGAAGGUCUGAUUCUGAGGUCUUCUGCAGGAGACAGCCUGUGAACACAUGCCUGUUAGAUACCCCAAGAGCUGCACAGAAAUUUCAAAGGGAUGCCCAGUACCUACCAGAGGGUGUUAUACCUUCGAGGAGAUAUUUUGUACAAUCACACAUGAGAUUUUCAAGUGAAAUCCUGGGGGACUAUACAUAAACCAGACAAGAAGCACAGUAUAAUGGUUAAAAGCAUGGAUUCAGGAGCCAGGGAAUUUGGGUUCAGAUCCUAGCACUUUUUAGCUGUGUGACCUUAGGCAAGUCACUUAAUCUCUCUGGGCCUUAGUUUCCUCAUCCAUAAAACUCAGAUAAUAGUACUUCUCAGUUCACAGGGUUGUUGUAAGGAUUAAAACGAGUUAAUAUUUAAAGGGUUGAAUGAGUUACUAUUUAAGUGUUACAUGUAAAAAGUAACAUAAUCAGGAGUUUCUGUGGUGGUGCAGCAGAAAUGAAUCUUCCUAGGAACGAUGAGGUUGCCGGUUCUAUCCCUUGCCUUGCUCAGUGGGUUAAGGAUCUGGUGUGGUAGUGAGCUGUGGUGUAGGUCUCAGACGCGGCUCGGAUCUGGCAUUGCUGUGGCUGUGGUAUAGGCCAGCAGCUAUAGUUCCCAUUUGACCCCUUAGCCUAGGGACCCCCAUAUGCCUCAGGUACGGCCCUUAAAAAAAAACAAAACAAAGCAAAAUUGAUUCUAUGAUUGACCCUGUCUCCAGGAAGGCCUUUGGUUGGCUCUGGCCUGUACUUACCCUCCAAUUUCACCAGCAUGAGGAGGCAGAAGAUACCCGGGAAACUUUCAUCUCCAGGCUUCCCCUUGAGCAUUAGGCAAGGCACUUCUCUGAAGUCUUGCAAGCCAGAACCAACAACAGGGAGCUCUGUCUGGUGCCCAGGCUUGAAAUGGGAAUCCCUCAUUGCAAACCCCUCAGUGCCUUGGUGGGCUCCCUGCUUGUGCUCUCACUAAAUGCUUCACCAAGCCAAGGUUACAGAACACAAGGAAAAGCCCUAAGUGAGAAAGCUAAGAAGAGCAAAGAAACUAGCAGGUGGCAGGAAGAAGGAUCACAGCAAGAGGAAACCCAACACACAACGAAAAAAGUAGAAAAGCUGAAGGAAGUGCAAGGAAACUUUUUUUGUUUCUCUAUUUUUGACCCAGUGAAAAACACAAACACUAGCGAAUAAACUGAGCAACAGAAUCAGGCUGAGCCAGUGAAGGGAGGGACCAGGCAGCGGAACAGCAAAUACAUGCUCAUUACCUCACCCUUCCUCCUGUGACCUGCAAGCAUGGCCCCAGGGCCAUUCGUUUCACAGCCUAAUAAUGAUUUCAUUUCACAGACUUCCUUCCACUUUUUUUUUUCUUAAUAAAAGUCCAUCACAGCUCUGUUUGGGGAAUCAGAAACAGUAUCUGUCUUUAGGAAAUUUAACUGCCAACAGAGCUCAGAUAAGCAUAAUUGAGAAGUAAAGAAUAGUUGGUGUGACCAGGACAAAUAUCAAAUCACAAAUAUUUGAAAUUCUUCUCUUUCCCGGCUCUAAGUAGAGAAGUGCCUUUGUUUGCUGAAUUGGCUCACAGACGCCUUGGCUUCUGUGUUGUGUAGGAUGUUGAAUGGGGAGGAGAAACCAGACGAAGGUCAAAUAUUUGUCAAAUGCUAACUGUGUAUCAGGUAUUCUGCUAAAUGCCAGAAAUUCAACAGUAAACAAAACACACAAGCCCUUGUCCUCAUGAAGCUAACACUUUUUUUACUUUUUAAAUUACAUAUAAAGUUACCAUCUUAGCUGUUUUUAAGUGAAUGUUUCAAUAGUGUUAAGUGUGUUUCUCCUGUGAUGGAAUCUCUAGAAUUUUUCCAUCUUGCAAAACUGAAACUCUGUGCCUAUUAAACAAUUCCCAUUUCCCCUUCUUCUAGGCUCAGGAUACCAAUAUUCUACUUUGCAUUUCUGUGAAUUUGCUUACUCUGGAUUCAUGUGGAAUCAUAGUGGUAUUUGCCUUUUUGUGACCAGCUCAUUUUACUUAGCAUAAUAUCCUCAAAGUUUCUCCAUAUUUAGCAUGUAUUGAAAUUUCCCUAGCUGUUUAGGGCUGAAUAAUAUUCCACUGUGUGUAUAGGCCACAUUUUGUUUAUCCAUUCAUCCUUGGAUAGACAUGUGGGUUGCUUCCAUUUCUUGGCUAUUGUGAAUAAUGCUGCUGUGAACAUGGGUGUAAAGUAUCUCCUUGAAUUAACACUCUUUUAAAGAGUUUAUUCCAUCAUAUUUGGGUUCCUUAUUUGCCCAUUAGUUGGCCCAAUUCGAUGGGUAAAUGCACAAGGAUCUGUGUUAUCUUUGCAUUCCAACUUCCUAUACAGUCCUAACACAUAGUAGGAACUCAAUAAAUAUUUGUUGAACAAAAUAAUUUAUUUUUACACUUCUUAGUCACUACUGCUGCAGCUGGCUAUUUUACAUAUUUUAAUAAAUAAGUUUUGCAAUUUUAAUGAAUGCUAUUUUGAUUAUAUUUACAUACUAAGCCAGUUUAUCUAAGGGGAUUGGUAUUAAAAAAUCUAAAUCUCCAUCAAAGUUCACUUUCUAGAUGAAAUGCUAUUGACAAUUCCUUCCCACUCGCUUUGGUUAAAAUCAACUGUUGCUGCUCUUAUUUCUCUCUUUCCUUCUCUCUCUUUUCCUGAAGUCAUAGCACUGUGUAGAUCUUGAGGACCUCAUUACGGAUCUCCUCAACUCAUGGGACGUCAUAUUGAACAGAUCUAGGCAUGGGCCUAGAGUUUGGUUCUCUCAGCCCAAAACCUCACGUUGAAGGUCAUUUUGUACAAGGCACAGCAUAAACAAAGCAUAGCCCUACCUCUGGAGGAACUCUGUCUUGUGGUUCUGUCUGGUUAUUCUUGGCCACAAUUUAAGGUCUCAGGUUUUUUUGUUGUUUUUUUUUGUUGUUUUGUAUUUUUAGGGCUGCACCCUCGGCAUAUGGAAGUUCCCAGGCUAGGGGUCUAAUCGGAGCUAUAGCUGCCAGCCUACACCACAGCCGCAGCAAUGCCGGAUCCUUUAACCCACUGAGCGAGGCCAGGGAUCAAAUCUGCAACCUCAUGGUUCCUAUUCGGAUUCAUUUCUUCUGCACCACAAUGGGAACUCCUGAGGCCUCAGUUUUCUUGGGUGUAGAAAAUAGUAUUUACCUCCGUUCCCCAUGAAAAACACAGACACAACUCUAAUAUUUAUAGAGCACGAGGAACUGAAAGACAUUGUCAAAAUUCUGAGUAGCCUGUAUUUAAUGAUAAUUACUAUAUGUAGUAUCAGCAGUUUUAGAAGCUAGUUAAAUAAUCUUUUACAUAAUGGAUAUUUAGAAUUAUGAUUUAUGGUCAAGGUAGCAUUGCUGUACAUAAAUCUUUAAGAUACUUGCUUAGCUCCAAACACAAAGCAAUUGUUUUUAAAAUGUACAAGAGAAAAAUUAAAAGACACAGUUGGCCCCAAAUAUAACCUUUUCUAUGGACCAGAAAUACAAAGCAAUGGAUAGGACUGAAGAUAUUGGACUCCAGGCCUGAAAGGAGGCAGAAAAUUCUGCAAUGGGGCUUCUGCAGGGGAAGUGAAACUAAAAGUGAUCUCCAUGGGGUGAGGGAAGUGGGUGGGAACCAGACCAGAUUCACUGCUUGAAACCAUGGACUAGACUGAGAGCCCCCAUCCUCAUACGCUCAAACUGGCUUGUUAAAGAAGUUAAAAAACCCUGAUCACUGACUAUGAUGGGCCUUUCACGAAGGAACUGUGAGCAGGAAGACAGGACCCAUGAUAGGAAAUUGGAUUAAGCAACCAAACACAGGCCUCUGUGAUUGACCCUAUGGCAUUUCCAUCAACACCAUAAGGGAAGAGAAUAGAUAAACUCUCUUUGCUCAGGCAACAUGAUUGUCUAUAAAGAAAAUAAUUAAACAGACUAUACCAAAAAAAGUGUUAGAACUAAAAAGACAAUUCAGCAAAGUUGCUGGGUACAAGGUCAACACAAAAUUCAAUUGCAUGGAGUUCCCUGGUGGCUUAAUAGUUAAGGAUUUGUUUUUGUCACUGCUGUGGCUCCUGUGGCUCAGUUCGACCCCUGGCUCAGUAACUGGAACUUUUGUAUGCUGCAAGUGCACC